UACGUAGGUGACCAGCGUUGUCCGGAUUUACUGGGCGUAAAGGGCGCGUAGGCGGCGCAACAAGUCACUUGUGAAAUCUCCGGGCUUAACCCGGAGCGGCCAAGUGAUACUGUCGUGCUAGAGUGCGGAAGGGGCUACUGGAAUUCUCGGUGUAGCGGUGAAAUGCGUAGAUAUCAGGAGGAACACCGGUGGCGAAGGCGGGUCUCUGGGCCGAUACUGACGCUGAGGAGCGAAAGCGUGGGGAGCGAACAGG
rnacentral:rRNA from 1 species